UACCAGACUCCUACGGGAGGCAGCAGUGAGGAAUAUUGGUCAAUGGGCGGGAGCCUGAACCAGCCAAGCCGCGUGAGGGAAGAAGGUACAGCGUAUCGUAAACCUCUUUUGUCAGGGAACAAAGGCGGGGACUAGUCCCCGGAUGAGGGUACCUGAAGAAAAAGCAUCGGCUAACUCCGUGCCAGCAGCCGCGGUAAUACGGAGGGAGCAAGCGUUGUCCGGAAUUACUGGGUGUAAAGGGAGCGUAGGCGGGGAUGCAAGUUGGGUGUCAAAACUACCGGCUCAACCGAUAGUCGCACUCAAAACUGCAGCUCUUGAGUGAAGUAGAGGCAGGCGGAAUUCCUAGUGUAGCGGUGAAAUGCGUAGAUAUUAGGAGGAACACCAGUGGCGAAGGCGGCCUGCUGGGCUUUUACUGACGCUGAGGCUCGAAAGUGUGGGGAGCAACCAGGAUUAGAUACCCGCGUACA
rnacentral:rRNA from 1 species